rnacentral:rRNA from 1 species
CCUACGGGGGGCUGCAGUGAGGAAUAUUGGUCAAUGGCCGGAAGGCUGAACCAGCCAUGCCGCGUGAAGGUCAGUGCCCUAUGGGCGUUAAACUUCUUUUGUGCGGGAGCAAUAAUGGUCACGUGUGGCCAGACGAGAGUACCGUACGAAUAAGCAUCGGCUAACUCCGUGCCAGCAGCCGCGGUAAUACGGGGGAUGCAAGCGUUAUCCGGAUUUAUUGGGUUUAAAGGGUGCGUAGGCUGUGAGGUAAGUCAGCGGUGAAAUGCCCCCGCUCAACGGGGUGAAGUGCCAUUGAUACUGGCUGGCUGGAGUGCGGAUGACGUGGGAGGAAUGUGUGGUGUAGCGGUGAAAUGCAUAGAUAUCACACAGAACACCGAUUGCGAAGGCAUCUCACGAAUCCGCGAUUGACGCUGAUGCACGAAAGCGUGGGUAUCAAACAGGAUUAGAUACCCGAGUAGUC